UGAAGGCCUUUCCUAUCCACAGUAUUCCUGACUUCGUGCAAUUAGACCUGAUUGGACUUCUGAUUAUAUCAAUGUAGCAAUCGGUCGAGCUCUGAACUGCUCCUGCAGGUAACUUUGCUAAAUCCUUAAAAUUAAGGGAAAAACGCUCCAAAACACGAAAACGAAAUACGCUAUAGACCCACGAUGCCUGGACCUGGUAAAACUACCAGGGAGAAGACUAAGUCAAUCACACAAACAAUGUUAUCGGUGUUUAGCGGGGAAGCUAGCGCGUUUGAGGCCUGCGCAGCUAACAAGCUAGCCACCAUGAGUGAACACAGCCCCGCGGAUAGUGGCAACAUGGAGGAGAGGCUGCAGCGUGCCAUACGAGAGGAGUUUGCAGGUAUUGAAAACAAGCUUGCAAACUACACUUUGGGACAAGUUGGAGGGCGCAGUGGCCAAGUUUUCCAGCAAGGCAGACGAGGUUGUGGCAGCCAUGAAUGAAAUGCAGAAAAAAUUAUCUGACUGUGUGGGGAGAGUAGCGCAGACGGAGAAACGCAUUUCAAAUGUAGAAGAUGAACAUGUGGUUAUGGGGACCACCAUUUCAAGAUUAGAGAAAGAAAAUAAAGAACUGAUGGAUAAAUUAGUGGAUUUGGAAACCAGAUCCCGACGCAAUAACCUCAGGUUGGUCGGAGUUCCAGAGGGAGAAGAGGGCGCGGACACCUGUGGAUUCCUGGAAAACUGGAUAACGUACGUAUUGGAGUUGAACACAUCAAGGAGCCCUCUGGUUAUCGAGAGAGCACACCGCAUUGGCCCAAAAAGAAAGCCUGAGGAACCUCCAAGAACAUUAAUUAUGUGCUUUCUUAACUAUAAACAGAAAGAUAUGGUGCUCAGAGCAGCAAGAUCGAAAAAGGAUAUUUUGUACAAGAACAAAAAGGUGAGAUUCUAUGAGGACGUCGCCACAGAGGUGCACAAACAACAGAAGAAGUUUGGAGAGGUAGACAACAACUCUGGAAGAUGGGACUGAAGUGGCAUCGUACCACCAGCUAAACUGAUAGUAACAUACAAGGAGCAAGUCCACAGAUUUAACACGCCAGAAGUCCAAAGCUUCAUAAAGAAGAUCCAGGAGAGCAAGAAAUGAGGAAGAUACUAUAAGGUCUAGCAAUCUGGAGUAAUGAUUCAUUUUGGAAAAGGAUAUAGUUAACUCCAUCAAAGCAAAAGGCUCUAAUGGGAGGAAGACGAAGGCAACUCUUGAGUCUCUCACCUCCCACUACCCACCAAGAUGCCCGCAUGACCAACUCCACUGCCAUGAUAAAUGCCAGAGGGGAAAUCGUGCAGCCUGCCAUAAUUCCAAUUCCCAGGUGCUGCCAGGCUGUGGUGGUGUUCUCAGCUGUCACACAAAACUGUAAAUCCUGAAAGUAGGUCUUGACCAGUCCUGUGAUAUGGUUUGGUAUGCUGAAAUAUUUGAAAGCCGUCCACAAGAUCUCGUGUGGAACUGACCCAAAGAUGUUGGCAAGGUCUUAAAAGACCACCUGAAGGUUUUUUCUUGGCAGUUUGAAUCUGGUGCCAGAUGACUCUGGCAUGUUCCAGACAUCCCGAGAAGCCCCGGAUGCCGGCCUUCUGCACUGAUGUGUCAAUAUAGUUGUUUCUUUGCAGGAAAAUAGAUAGUCUUUGGGCCAAGACACUGAAAAAGAUCUUUCCCUCUACGUAGAAAAGCAUCACUAUCUCUCUGAAGGCUUGUUGAUGGGGAACUCAAUGAAAGAGAAAAGGCUGAGCAAACAAUAUGGAAUAGACUGCAACAACUAACAGCCAUGAAGAAGAAACGAUUAAAGACCCACACGCCAAUGAAAAUUGGACUUUUAGGUGAGUAAUCCCUUAUGCACUCAGAUGAUGGAGGUCACAUUAAGGCACAGGUGUCAAACUCCAGGCCUUGAGAGCCGCUGUCCUGCUUGUUUUCCAACUAACCUGCCCCUGAAGCUUCUUAUUGGCAAAGCACACCUGAUAAUCAGCAGGUAAUCAGCAGCAGGUAGGGUAGGAAUAUCUCAAAAACAAGCAGGAUACUGGCCCUCGAGGACUGGAGUUUGACACCCCUGCAUUAAGGAUACAGAAAUGGGUGUGUUUGUCUCAGGCUGCAUGGAGGAGAGGCCCAAGAUGAAGCUUCUGGAGCAAGAGUAAAAAUAGAUGUAGAAAAUGUAGCCAAUUGUGUUUAUUAUUAAAUUAUUGAGGAAAUGGAAGGUGGGGGUGUUAGAGAAGAGGGUAAAGGGAAAGGAAUAGAGGAGAGAAAACCCCAACAAUCCCCUCUGAGCAAGCACUAGGCGACAGUGGAUAGGAAAAACUCCCUUUAAAGGAAGAAACCUAUGACAGAACCAGGCUCUAGAGUUGACUCAGUUUUCUCCUGUUUUUCACUUAGAAGGUCAGGUAAGUAAAUUGUCUUUUGGUUGGAUUUUUUUUGUUUUCUUUUUUAGGGACGCUUAGGAAUGUUUAGGGAUUUGUUGUUUGUUAUUUUUGGCAUUGCUCACUGCCGAUGUAAAUAAAUGGCUGCAUAGCACUUUGAAAAGUA